rnacentral:rRNA from 2 species
ACCUGGUUGAUUCUGCCAGUAGUCAUAUGCUUUCUCAAAGAUAAGCCAGCAGUCAUCAUGAGACUCUAUCCCCGAUC